rnacentral:lncRNA from 1 species
GAGUAAACGCAGCCCUCACAUGAAGCUAUGGUGGCAAAUUCAGUCCACUGGUGACUUAACCGGUGAAACCAAAAGGAUGGGAUUAAUUAAUCUUAAUCUGUACGAUGAAUUAACUGUACAGUGUCUCACAUACAAGAAUCACAUCACAGGAGGAAGGAUAAAGAAACGAAACUACACUGUGCUGACAAAAGGAUCAGCAAAAGGAAUUACAGCCCUUGCCACCUUUAAUUUUGUAGUUGGUUAGGGCAUAGAGCAUUUUCUGAAUUUUGUUGUAUUGACAACUGCAAAUCAUGAUUCCUUCUAUUAAUGAUAAUUAUCCUUUUUCAAUGAAUCACCCAAGAAACUGCAGACUUCAAGCAAAAAGUUAGUGAAGAUCCAAGACCCAAGUCUCAAAAUCUGCAACGAGGUAAUGAUUCUCAGCAAUCAGUAUGCCAUAUCACAUAAUGUUUAAACAGCAACAUACUUUCUGACUAGAUUGUUUUAAGUUUUAUUGUAACAAAGAGGGGAAAAUCUAUCGGAAACAGCCUCUCUACCUUCAAGGUGGGUGUACGGUCUAUUACAUAUACACUACCCUCCCCAUACCACAUUUGUGGAAUUAUACUGGGUUUUUUUUUUUUUUUGUAGUAUUACAAAGAAGGUAAAAACGACUAAAGGAUGUCAUUUUCAUUUUCUAGUUACAGUUAGUCAGAUAGGGUUCUUGUUGCAUGUUUCAGCAAACUUAACCACCAAAAACUGGCAUGCCUACGUAAUUCAUAGGCCAAUUUCAAUAAAUUUGAACUACCCAACAACAAUCUUCAGACAAGGAACCAUGACCAGGUAAAAAAUAAACAACAAAAACAAGGAAAUAAGCUAACCUGAAAUGCUUCAAACUGUCCUCUCUUCCCUUUGAUCUCUCCUGGGAAACAUCCUUUAUAGUCCUUGCCAUCGAGUAAUAAAUCCCACUUUUUAUUCAUUAAUCCAGCUGCUAAGUAAAAAAGAGAAUGAUCAUUAUUAUUAUUGUGCGUUAAGCCACACAGACGCUUAUAUAUAAGCUUAUCGCCAAACUUAUAAGUUUAUAUAUUGGUAGAUAAAGAAAACUGCAUCUUAUAGUCAAGGCUUCAAAGGUUGACAGAAAAUUUGCACGGACUCUUUAAUUAAUUUAAACUAGUAAAUAUAUAUAUAUAAAAUAAUUUACUUAGUAUAAUCAUUCCUAAUAUCAAAAAACAGGAUACUCUUACACCAAAAAAUGUAGCAGAUUAAGAGUAACAAAAUAUGCAUACAUCGUUGAUGAUAGUAUAUGCAUCAAGCUAGUAUUUGACUCCCUAAAUAUUGUCACUUGUGCGACAUUUGUUCUUCUCUUCACCAUUCUUAAUUAACAGCCAAACGAUAUAAAUGAAAGAACCUUCUAGAGAGGAAAAAGAUCAUUUUAAAGAGAUAGCUUCUAAUAAAAAAGAGAGAGUGAAGAUGAAUGAUUAAGAGAAGAGAGUUAUGUGAUGAAGAAGAAAUGGCUUAUUAUUUAUAGUAACCAAAAAGAAGUAAUCAAUAAAAUUGUUAACUUAAGUUGGUAAUAGGAAUAGAUUGUAACGUACACUGAACCGUUAUUGUAGUAUACUAAGCAUUAUGAUUAAUUGCAUAUAUUACAACUUUAAUUAUAGCCGUUUCGCUUUCCUUGGAAAAGAAGAAAAUAUACAUUUAAUAGAAAAGCAAGAGGAAAAAGGCAAAAAAUUGAGAAAAAAGAUAAUGUUAUGAAAUCUCCUAUUUAAGGUGAAUGUCUAUAAUUAGAGAGAUUCUAGAGUUCUAUUCUUGGUAGAUAAAUCAUCCCCCUCCCUAUAAAUAANN